CCUACGGGUGGCUGCAGUCAAGAAUAUUCCUCAAUGGACGAAAGUCUGAAGGAGCGACACCGCGUGUAGGAUGAAGGUUUUCGGACUGUAAACUACUUUUAUAUGGGAAGAAUUCGUGACGGUACCAUAUGAAUAAGAGGUUGCUAACUCUGUGCCAGCAGCAGCGGUAAUACAGAGACCUCAAGCGUUAUCCGGAUUUAUUGGGCGUAAAGCGUCCGCAGGUGGUUCUAUAAGUCAGGGGUUAAAACUCAGUGCUCAACACUGAGACUGCCUUUGAUACUGUAGAACUAGAGAACGGAAGAGGUAAGCGGAAUUCUCGGUGUAGUCGUAAUAAGCGUUGAUAUCGAGAAGAACACCAAAUGCGAAGGCAGCUUACUGGUACGUUUCUGACACUCAUGGACUAAAGCGUGGGGAGCAAACAGGAUUAGAUACCCCUGUAGUC
rnacentral:rRNA from 1 species